CACGUAGGGGGCAAGCGUUGUCCGGAUUUAUUGGGCGUAAAGAGCGUGUAGGCGGCUGGGUAGGUCCGUUGUGAAAACUCGAGGCUCAACCUCGAGACGCCGAUGGAAACCCCCCAGCUAGAGUCCGGAAGAGGAGAGUGGAAUUCCUGGUGUAGCGGUGAAAUGCGCAGAUAUCAGGAAGAACAUCGGUGGCGAAGGCGCUCUGCUGGACCAUAACUGACACUCAGGGACGAAAGCUAGGGGAGCGAAUGGG
rnacentral:rRNA from 1 species